AUGAUGCUUAAAUGCUUUUGUUGUUGUUCUCUUUUUCAGGUAAGUGAAAAGAUAUCUUCUGAAGUGUUCUGCAGAAAUUGUGCAGGUGGCAGUUCUCUUAGAAGAAAAAAGGAGGCAGGGAUCCUUGAAAUGGUAAUAUUUCAGCUGUUCAUAUACACAGAAGCAUUGCAUAUGACCCGCAAAAUGGUUGUUUAUUCUUCUAUGGCUGUACCUGUUUAUUUCAUUUUCUUUUCUCUCCCUUCUUUUGGAUGCCAAGCUAUGAUAGCAUACUCUGCACAUUUUUAUGUACUACAUAUUUUUCUCAACUUAUGAUAAAGCCAAAAUGUGAUGGACUCUGAAAGUACAUUCUAGCAAUGUUAUUUAUCAGCUAUGUAUAUUGCAUUUCCUUAAUCUAGUUAGCUCUUUGGAAUAUAAAGAUGCAUUACUUGUAGUUGGUGGAUAAUUCGGUUAUAAAUAAGUCACAUAGAAUUUCCAUUUCUUAACUGUAGUUCAAAGAAUGUACUAGUAGCAUCUCAGAGAUGUUUCUCAUUGCUGCUAAGAAUAGAAAACGCUGCAAUGAGCAUAAGCUGCAAUUCAAGAGACUUGAGUUGAUUGUAAAAUAUUUAUCUUACGGUGGAGAUUGUGUCUAUUAAAAUAUGUUAGCAUUGGUAAUUCCUUCUUUUGAAUCUGAGAAAUCUUCUUAACUUUUUCAAAGACUUUUGUUUUCCCUGGAAAUUAGGGAUCAGAUGGACUCUCCAUUUUUAAAAUAGUUCUUUUUAAGAUAUUCAUGAAGAUAAAUCCUUCUAUCUCUUUCUCCAACAAAAAUUAAGAUACAACUCUCUUCUUAUGUGGAAAUAUGAGCACUAAAUAAACAUGUUCUGAGAAAUACCCA
rnacentral:lncRNA from 1 species